AUUGAACGCUGGCGGCAGGCCUAACACAUGCAAGUCGAACGAGUGGCGGACGGGUGAGUAAUGUCUGGGAAACUGCCUGAUAGAGGGGGAUAACUACUGGAAACGGUAGCUAAUACCGCAUACCAUCGGAUGUACCCAUAUGGGAUUAGCUAGUAGGUGGGGUAAAGGCUCACCUAGGCGACGAUCUCUAGCUGGUCUGAGAGGAUGACCAGCCACACUGGAACUGAGACACGGUCCAGACUCCUACGGGAGGCAGCAGUGGGGAAGAUUGCACAAUGGGCGCAAGCCUGAUGCAGCCAUGCCGCGUGUGUGAAGAAGGCCUUCGGGUUGUAAAGUACUUUCAGCGGGGAGGCGUUACCCGCAGAAGAAGCACCGGCUAACUCCGUGCCAGCAGCCGCGGUAAUAC
rnacentral:rRNA from 1 species